UACUGCUUUUUCACUUCACGA
rnacentral:piRNA from 1 species